GGGGAAUAUUGGACAAUGGGGGCAACCCUGAUCCAGCCAUGCCGCGUGUGUGAAGAAGGCCUUUUGGUUGUAAAGCACUUUAAGCGAGGAGGAGGGUACCUUGGAUAAUACCCAAGAGUAUCGGACGUUACUCGCAGAAUAAGCACCGGCUAACUCUGUGCCAGCAGCCGCGGUAAUACAGAGGGUGCGAGCGUUAAUCGGAUUUACUGGGCGUAAAGCGUGCGUAGGCGGCCACUUAAGUCGGAUGUGAAAUCCCCGAGCUCAACUUGGGAAUUGCAUUCGAUACUGGGUGGCUAGAGUAUGGGAGAGGAAGGUAGAAUUCCAGGUGUAGCGGUGAAAUGCGUAGAGAUCUGGAGGAAUACCGAUGGCGAAGGCAGCCUUCUGGCCUAAUACUGACGCUGAGGUACGAAAGCAUGGGGAGCAAAC
rnacentral:rRNA from 1 species